rnacentral:rRNA from 1 species
UGGGGAAUUUUGGACAAUGGGCGAAAGCCUGAUCCAGCAAUGCCGCGUGUGUGAAGAAGGCCUUCGGGUUGUAAAGCACUUUUGUCCGGAAAGAAAUCCUUGGCUCUAAUACAGUCGGGGGAUGACGGUACCGGAAGAAUAAGCACCGGCUAACUACGUGCCAGCAGCCGCGGUAAUACGUAGGGUGCAAGCGUUAAUCGGAAUUACUGGGCGUAAAGCGUGCGCAGGCGGUUUGCUAAGACCGAUGUGAAAUCCCCGGGCUCAACCUGGGAACUGCAUUGGUGACUGGCAGGCUAGAGUAUGGCAGAGGGGGGUAGAAUUCCACGUGUAGCAGUGAAAUGCGUAGAGAUGUGGAGGAAUACCGAUGGCGAAGGCAGCCCCCUGGGCCAAUACUGACGCUCAUGCACGAAAAGCGUGGGGGAGCAAAACAGGAUUAGAUACCCUGGUAGUCCACGCCCCUAAAACGAUGUCAACUAGUUGUUGGGGAUUCAUUUCCUUAGUAACGUAGCUAAACGCGUGAAGUUGACCGCCUGGGGAGUACGGUCGCAAGAUUAAAAACUCAAAGGGAAUUGACGGGGUCAUAGCUGUUUCCU